rnacentral:rRNA from 1 species
CCUACGGGUGGCUGCAGUGGGGAAUAUUGGACAAUGGGCGAAAGCCUGAUCCAGCCAUGCCGCGUGUGUGAAGAAGGCCUUCGGGUUGUAAAGCACUUUCAGUGGGGAAGAAAGCCUUGGGGCUAAUACCCUCGAGGAAGGACAUCACCCACAGAAGAAGCCCCGGCUAACUCCGUGCCAGCAGCCGCGGUAAUACGGAGGGUGCGAGCGUUAAUCGGAAUUACUGGGCGUAAAGCGCGCGUAGGCGGUCUGAUAAGCCGGUUGUGAAAGCCCCGGGCUCAACCUGGGAACGGCAUCCGGAACUGUCAGGCUAGAGUGCAGGAGAGGAAGGUAGAAUUCCCGGUGUAGCGGUGAAAUGCGUAGAGAUCGGGAGGAAUACCAGUGGCGAAGGCGGCCUUCUGGACUGACACUGACGCUGAGGUGCGAAAGCGUGGGUAGCAAACAGGAUUAGAUACCCCGGUAGUC